rnacentral:rRNA from 1 species
CUAACAAGGAUUCCCCUAGUAACGGCGAGUGAAGCGGGAAGAGCUCAAAUUUGUAAUCUGGCGGCCUCUGGUCGUCCGAGUUGUAGUCUGGAGAAGCGUUUUCCGCGUCGGACCGUGUACAAGUCCCUUGGAACAGGGCGUCAUAGAGGGUGAGAAUCCCGUCUUUGACACGGACUGCCGACGCUCUGUGAUGCGCUCUCGAAGAGUCGAGUUGUUUGGGAAUGCAGCUCAAAACGGGUGGUAAAUUCCAUCUAAAGCUAAAUAUUGGCGAAAGACCGAUAGCGAACAAGUACCGUGAGGGAAAGAUGAAAAGCACUUUGGAAAGAGAGUUAAACAGUACGUGAAAUUGUUGAAAGGGAAACGCUUGAAGUCAGUCGCGUCUCCCGGGACUCAGCCUUGCUUUGCCAGGCGUAUUUCCCGGGGCGACGGGCCAGCAUCGAUUUUGACCGUCGGAGAAAGACUUUGGGAACGUGGCACCUUCGGGUGUGUUAUAGCCCUCGGUCGUAUGCGACGGUCGGGAUUGAGGACCGCAGCACGCCUUUUUGGCCGGGGUUCGCCCACGUAACGUGCUUAGGAUGCUGGCGUAAUGGCUUUAAGCGACCCGUCUUGA